UUGAAGGUUUCUUGUGUUAGAUUCUUGUUCUCUAAUACCUAGGGAGUCUAGAUCUACUUUUAGAUUGAAGUUUGGUUGAGUUUGAGCUUAGAUCCACCAUGGCUAUGGAGUUUUGAAGCUUUUUGUGCUAUACACGUUUUUGUCUUGGUGAUUUAGGCUUGAUUUGUGGCUGAUUUUUGGUUGGUUUAAGUUGUUUUUACAUAAGGAACCUAGGGCUACAAAAAAAAAAAUCAGAUUUGGAGCUCAUUUACUAGGUGGUCAAACUUGGUCAA
rnacentral:lncRNA from 1 species